UAGGGAAUCUUCCGCAAUGGGCGAAAGCCUGCCGGAGCAACGCCGCGUGAGUGAUGAAGGUCUUCGGAUCGUAAAACUCUGUUAUUAGGGAAGAACAAAUGUGUAAGUAACUAUGCACGUCUUGACGGUACCUAAUCAGAAAGCCACGGCUAACUACGUGCCAGCAGCCGCGGUAAUACGUAGGUGGCAAGCGUUAUCCGGAAUUAUUGGGCGUAAAGCGCGCGUAGGCGGUUUUUUAAGUCUGAUGUGAAAGCCCACGGCUCAACCGUGGAGGGUCAUUGGAAACUGGAAAACGUGAGUGCAGAAGAGGAAAGUGGAAUUCCAUGUGUAGCGGUGAAAUGCGCAGAGAUAUGGAGGAACACCAGUGGCGAAGGCGACUUUCUGGUCUGUAACUGACGCUGUUGUGCGAAAGAGUGGGGAUCAAACAGG
rnacentral:rRNA from 1 species